AGCGAACGCUGGCGGCAGGCCUAACACAUGCAAGUCGAACGAACUCUUCGGAGUUAGUGGCGGACGGGUGAGUAACACGUGGGAACGUGCCUUUAGGUUCGGAAUAACUCAGUGAAACUUGAGCUAAUACCGAAUGUGCCCUUCGGGGGAAAGAUUUAUCGCCUUUAGAGCGGCCCGCGUCUGAUUAGCUUGUUGGUGAGGUAAUGGCUCACCAAGGCGACGAUCAGUAGCUGGUCUGAGAGGAUGACCAGCCACAUUGGGACUGAGACACGGCCCAAACUCCUACGGGAGGCAGCAGUGGGGAAUCUUGCGCAAUGGGCGAAAGCCUGACGCAGCCAUGCCGCGUGGAUGAUGAAGGUCUUAGGAUUGUAAAAUCCUUUCACCGGUGAAGAUAAUGACUGUAGCCGGAGAAGAAGCCCCGGCUAACUUCGUGCCAGCCGCCGCGGUAAAAC
rnacentral:rRNA from 1 species